UGCACUGGAAUAGCUCAGUCGGUAGAGCAUGAGUCUCUUAAUCUCAAGGCUAUGAGUUUGAGCCCCACGCUAGGCAA